CUGAGUUACCGCUCUAUAACCCUUUGUGAACAUACCUAUAUGUUGCUUCGGCGGUCGGCCCCCCGGGCCCCCGGCCCCGCUCACGCGGGGCGUCCGCCGGAGGAUAACCAAACUCUGAUUUAACGACGUUUCUUCUGAGUGGCACAAGCAAAUAAUCA
rnacentral:misc_RNA from 1 species